UACGAAGGGGGCUAGCGUUGCUCGGAAUCACUGGGCGUAACGCGCACGUAGGCGGCUUGUUAAGUCAGGGGUGAAAUCCUGGAGCUCAACUCCAGAACUGCCUUUGAUACUGAGGAUCUUGAGUUCGGGAGAGGUGAGUGGAACUGCGAGUGUAGAGGUGAAAUUCGUAGAUAUUCGCAAGAACACCAGUGGCGAAGGCGGCUCACUGGCCCGGUACUGACGCUGAGGUGCGAAAGCGUGGGGAGCAAACAGG
rnacentral:rRNA from 1 species